CCGGAGGUCUGGCCGAGGUCCGAGGAGGGGCCCGGAGGUCUGGCCGAGGUCCGAGGAGGGGCCCGGAGGUCUGGCCGAGGUCCGAGGAGGGGCCCGGAGGUCUGGCCGAGGUCCGAGGAGGGGCCCGGAGGUCUGGCCGAGGUCCGAGGAGGGGUCUGGAGGUCUGGCCGAGGUCCGAGGAGGGUCCGGAGGUCUGAAAGCGC
rnacentral:lncRNA from 1 species